GAUGAACGCUAGCUACAGGCUUAACACAUGCAAGUCGAGGGGCAGCAUGGUCUUAGCUUGCUAAGGCCGAUGGCGACCGGCGCACGGGUGAGUAACACGUAUCCAACCUGCCGUCUACUCUUGGACAGCCUUCUGAAAGGAAGAUUAAUACAAGAUGGCAUCAUGGGUCCGCAUGUUCACAUGAUUAAAGGUAUUCCGGUAGACGAUGGGGAUGCGUUCCAUUAGAUAGUAGGCGGGGUAACGGCCCACCUAGUCUUCGAUGGAUAGGGGUUCUGAGAGGAAGGUCCCCCACAUGGGAACUGAGACACGGUCCAAACUCCUACGGGAGGCAGCAGUGAGGAAUAUUGGUCAAUGGGCGAGAGCCUGAACCAGCCAAGUAGCGUGAAGGAUGACUGCCCUAUGGGUUGUAAACUUCUUUUAUAAAGGAAUAAAGUCGGGUAUGGAUACCCGUUUGCAUGUACUUUAUGAAUAAGGAUCGGCUAACUCCGUG
rnacentral:rRNA from 1 species